CAAUUGACAAAGUCAUAAUGCUUUUAUUUUACUGAAGUUUAGCAAGUACAUUUUUAACAAAGAAGAUGUAAUUUAACUUAAUAUAUGGUAGAACAGAGAAACAAUACAUGUUCUUAGUCUCUAACACACUACCGAAUUUUUUUUUCCCUUAAAAGACAAAAAACCAAGCUGAAGUGAGCAUAGAAAAGCAUAAAAUAUGGUCAAGUUACUUUAGACAUUAAUAUUUAGCUCAUAUUUUUAAACUGGUCAAUCUAAUACAAAAACAAAGCUUACAUCAUUGUUUUUAAAAUGCACACACAUUCUUUUUUUUAAUAAAAAAUGUAAUAUAGAUUGAAUAACUCCUUCAGUAAACAAAGCUUUGCUGAUAAAAACAAUUAAAAUGACACCAUGUUGAAUAGUUUCAGAGAUAAACUGGAAUCACAAGCAUCUUCAUUUAUGUAAAGCCAGUGAGGACCUUUCCAGCCAAAUAAAACUGUUGUGCCAUUGCUAAACAGUAAUAGUUACCUCCGUUAAAAAAAAGAAAAUGAGUUAGUUUUUCUGAGGAAUAAUCGUAAUACGUGCUUUAAAAUACUAAAUUUCUAUCUUCAGGAACUUAAAUGAUCUGAUGUAACAGGCUUGAUUUAAUAUCAGUAAAAUUAAAAUUUCUUAACAUUUCUAUAUGCUAAUGCGUCAGUUUUCAAAGAUCCUUUAAGUUGCAUGCUACAGCUCCUGGUUUUUCCACAGCACUGAACACAUCAAAGACUGAAAAGAA
rnacentral:lncRNA from 1 species